ACUCAAAUGAAUAGACGGGGGCCCGCACAAGCAGCGGAGCGUGUGGUUUAAUUCGAUGAUACGCGAAGAACCUCACCCAGGUUUGACAUGUAUGUAGUACAGAGGUGAAAGCCGACGGACCCCUCGGGGAGCAUACACAGGUGUUGCACGGCCGUCGUCAGCUCGUGCCGUGAGGUGUUGGGUUAAGUCCCGCAACGAGCGCAACCCCUGUCGCCAGUUGUAUUUUUCUGGCGAGACUGCCGAGAAAACCUCGGAGGAAGGAGGGGACGAUGUCAGGUCAGCGUGGCCCUUACGCCUGGGGCUACACACACGCUACAAUGGGUCGUACAAAGGGCUGCGAAGCCGCGAGGCGGAGCCAAUCCCAUCAAAGCGAUCCUCAGUUCGGAUUGCAGGCUGAAACCCGCCUGCAUGAAGCCGGAGUUGCUAGUAACCGCAGGUCAGCACUACUGCGGUGAAUACGUUCCCGGGCCUUGCACACACCGCCCGU
rnacentral:rRNA from 1 species